rnacentral:lncRNA from 1 species
UCAAGAGUAAGAGCAGGGUCCGACUACGGACGAAAAUAAACGACAAAAGAAGAACGACGUCCAUCCUUGCUAUCCCAGGCUGCCGGCCUGGAACCCAUCCUAGAUCGAUGAAGAAGAAGAAGAAGAGGCAACUCCAAAUGAACAAUCAAUGCGCUCGCGUCAUGUAACCUUUACCUGAACCUGCAACUGGUGUUGUAGUAAUCUGUGAGCCACAGGGGACUCAGCAAUCUCAUUUCCAAAGGUAUCAAGACUAGCAAAGCUUAAUGGGUGAGGCAUGGUUAAAUGGUGAGGUUGCAGCAGCGACUAAGCAUAUAUUUGGUGGCUAACUUACGAGUACAAGAAAUAAGAGGGGGGAAGAUCUACGCAUAACGGACGUCACUACAGAUGAUCAAAAGAAUGAUCCUGAACACCUACCUACGUCAGACAUAACCCCACCGUGUCCUCAAUCGGAGAAGGAACUCACGAAAGAGACAAUCACAGUUACGCACACAGUUGGCAUGUUUUAAUUAAGUUAACUUCAAGUUAUCUAGAACCAGUGUUAAACAAAGCUUCCACGUUGCCACAUAACCGCGGGCACGGCUUUCCGAAAGAUUUAACCCUGCAGGGGUGCUCCAACUAGUCCAUCACAAAUUACCACAAGCCGCAUAGAAAUCCUCAAUCACGAAGCUCGCGAUCUCGUCGGAUUCCCUAGUGGAAAACCUCAACUCUGAGAUUACCCAAAGCAUCACCGGAAUCCCGAUGCACAAGAUAUCUCGUCAAAGGUAAAACUAAUCCAGCAAGGCCGCCCGACGUGUCGACGAUCCCGAUAGGAGUCGCGUACCUCGUUCUCAGGACACGGCGGAUGAGCUAGACGUCGGGAUCGCUAAACCUCCGGGUGACCAGAGGGGCGCCGGACAUCGCUCAGGUGGGGCCAACACUCAUGAGGAGCACUGGCCCGGGGGUUGAUUAAAUUAUCCUCGGGGUCCGAAAAGUCCCUAUGCAAUUUUAUUAGGUGUUUAGGCAAAUGUAGUACCAAAGUUGGGCCUUGCCAGACCAGCUUUAAUCUAAAACGAAUUAUCAAGGGGGUCCCCAUAACAACCCCGAUCGUGUUAGGAGCGCUCAUUUAUGGAACAUAACACCGGUAGCCGAAUCUAAGGGGGCAAAGGUGGAACAAAACACCAGGCUAGAAAGGCCGAGCCUUCCACCUUUUACCANUUAGAUAGCAUUUAAUAUGGUGAUAUAACAAGGAACCCAUGUUUUCACAUGGAAGCAGCUGCACCUGCAACUAGCAACGCUAUCAACAGGGUUAAGCAAGCAGUAACAUAGCCAAUCAGUGGUUUGCUAGGGUGAACAGGUUGAUGGUUUCAUGGCAUUGUAGAGAGGCUGAUAUUUAAUAGGUGGUAGGCAACGAGACGUAAACGAUAGCAACGGUAAAACUAGCAUGGCAAUGAUAGUAAUGGUAUCUGGGGAAAUGAUCAUCUUGCCUGAGAUCCCGCUUGGAAGAAGAAUGACUCCGUGAAGCAGACG